rnacentral:rRNA from 1 species
UACGGGGGGAGCAAGCGUUGUUCGGAUUUACUGGGCGUAAAGGGCGCGUAGGCGGCCAGCGCAAGUCGGUUGUGAAAUCUCCGGGCUUAACUCGGAAAGGUCAACUGAUACUGCGCGGCUAGAGUGCAGAAGGGGCAACUGGAAUUCUCGGUGUAGCGGUGAAAUGCGUAGAUAUCGAGAGGAACACCUGCGGCGAAGGCGGGUUGCUGGGCUGACACUGACGCUGAUGCGCGAAAGCCAGGGGAGCGAACGGG